CCUCAGGAGGCAGCAGCGGGGCGGGACCGAGCCGGCAGGCGCAGCCAUGUUCUGGGCCCCCGAGGUGUCUGAGCGCCUCGACGAUGCGGCGGGAAGCCGCUCCCGCUGGGCGGCCGUCACAGUCUGGGCAGGCGACGCGGGGACUCCGCGGCCUCACUUGCAGGCCCGUCACGGCUGCUCUGCGCUGACCGCGGGGCGGGUCCCCGCGGGGCCACUUCCCAAAGUUCCAGCCCGAUGGGGGUUUGUCUCAGCGCCCGCUUGCAGAGAGCCAAGACCAGCUCCGAGAGCUCAGGGGAGGGCUUCGCAUCCGUUCAAGUGUGCAGCCCGAGAGGCUGGGACAAUUAAAAGCCUCGCGUCCCCAGUUGGAAGCUGAAGAACGGGCAUUACCUUCAGCCGCAGUGUCUCGUUUGCCACUUGAACUUUUCACUUGCUCAGACCCCCAACAGGUCACUUUUGAUGGACGAUUGAGUUUAAUAAUGCUUGUCAAGCCAGACACAGCAAACGCUGAACCUAAAUCGUCGCGCACCGAGAUCCACUAGAGGGCAGGUCUACACCUGCUGAGUUCCAGCGCAUCCUGCAAAGAACUCAGGAGACAGGAAAAGAAACGUCCUUCCUUAUAUGCUUAGAGAUGAGGAAAUGAAGGAUGAGGCACAGAAGGCUUGAGUAACUUGCUGAAGGUUCCAUAGCUCAGAAGCCUGGUGGAUCCAGGAUUCAAACCAGAGUCCAAGCUCUUAUCCUCUACACUCUUCUGCCGUUCUCAACUCUGUCGACGGAACCUCAGUUUGAGCUCUGGUCAACUCUGCUAUUUCCUGUCCAGACCUAUCCUCGGGACCAAAUAAUAGAGAAGAACACAUCUCCAGUUCACUGUAGACAUCACUGAACAGAGUUGCCUGGAAGGUGAACUGGGAGCAGUUAAACAUCAAGCUCAUUGCCAAUUUUCGGCUUUAACUGGAAUCACCUUUGCCUUUUCCUGUGG